AUCGAACGCUGGCGGCAGGCUUAACACAUGCAAGUCGAGCGAGUGGCGGACGGGUGAGUAAUACAUGGGUAUUUCCCGAUAGCGGCGGAUAACGAUUGGGAAAGGUAGCUAAUACCGCAUACUAUAGGAUAACCCUCAUGGGAUUAGCUAGUAGGUGAGGUAAUGGCCUACCUAGGCGACGACCCCUAGCUGGUCUGAGAGGAUGAUCAGCCACACUGGGACUGAGACACGGCCCAGGCUCCUGCGGAGGCAGCAGUGGGGAAUAUUGCGCAAUGGGCGCAAGCCUUGUGCAGCCAUGCCGCGUAUAUGAAGAAGGCCCUGGGGUUGUAAAGUACUUUCAGGCGGGAGGCGUUACCGACAGAAGAAGCACCGACUAACUCCGUGCCAGCAGCCGCGGUAAUAC
rnacentral:rRNA from 1 species